CAGACGUGUUCAUCUGCAGCCGGUUAUGCCGACUGCCCAGGGGAGGGUGCGGCCUCCCCAACAGCCAGCGCCCGGAGGGGAGGGGACGGCCGAAUAAGGCCCCUCCGCCCGGCUGUGCCUGUCCCGCCCAACCCCUUGGCCCGGAAGCUUCCCUUUCGCUGCUGCAGCAGGAAAACAAACCCCAAAUGCCCCCAAACAAAAUUACACCCUCAGUGACGUGCAGUAAACGGUACUUUUGGAAUCUCUACAUACUGCCUGGAAAUGAAUAUCCAUGAGGUUCUUGAGGCCUUGGCUCAUGGGAUGAAGGUUCUAAACUCGGCCAUCGACUCACAAUUUGCAUUUAGGCAAAUCACUUGCUCUCUCAGGACUUCACUUCCCAUCUGAAAAGGAGUGUUUUGAACUAGAUGGUCAGCAGGAGAGCUGGAAUCUGAACCGGUGCCUUGUGGAAAGUAUUUCAGGGCUGGAUGAAAGAGGGGGAGAGAGGACCAGAAUGGAGGCAACAGGGACAGAGAUGGCUGGAAGCUUUGGUUCUGAGGGUUUGUAAUUGUCCUUAACUCACAUGGAAUGAAAGCUCGCCUGUCUUUCUUCCUGGGGCUUGUGUAAGAACAUCUGCUGAAGAAUCUUAACAGCGUAAGUGAC